UACGUAGGGUGCGAGCGUUGUCCGGAAUUAUUGGGCGUAAAGAGCUUGUAGGCGGUUUGUCGCGUCUGCUGUGAAAAUCCGGGGCUCAACCCCGGACUUGCAGUGGGUACGGGCAGACUAGAGUGUGGUAGGGGAGACUGGAAUUCCUGGUGUAGCGGUGAAAUGCGCAGAGUAUCAGGAGGAACACCGAUGGCGAAGGCAGGUCUCUGGGCCACUACUGACGCUGAGAAGCGAAAGCAUGGGGAGCGAACAGG
rnacentral:rRNA from 1 species